rnacentral:lncRNA from 1 species
CAUUCUGUUGCAAUUUGCAAAUAAAAUCCGAAUGCGCUUUAGAUUAAAUUUAAUCAAAUGGCAAAUAAUUUAAAAGGAUUGAUUUUCAGAUUUUGCAGGACAGUCAGAAAAGAAAGCAUGAAGAGACAAGAAGAGAGAGGCCGCGGAGAGAGGUCUAAGGAGAACACAAAUCUCAGAACCUCUGCAUCUCCAACCUAGAAACACAGUGCGGACUGAGAUAUUUUGUAAGGUAACUGCCUUGAUCACUUAGGAUCAUAAAGUCUUUGCUGUUAUUUCUAUUUUGUAGGGUUUUUCUUUUUCUUAAGCCAAGAAUGUUUCCUAGAAACGCAAUCAUGAUGCCAAAGUGAAUAGAUAGGUUUUAAUUUUUUUUUGUUGUUUCCAAAUGAGAAUAAGGUACCUAUUACUUUAUUUCAUAGUGUAGUACAUGGAAAUAAGAUACCACAAUAUCUAGAGUUUAUUGUCUUUAAAAGAUUAACUUACAGGAAUAAUAGAAGUUUUAAACUUCUUAAAAUGAGCAAUAAGAGUGACCCUGAGAGUUUCAACAAGAAAAAAGUAAAGCAUUGUAUACUAAAGUCUGUGCAUAGACUCAGAAGGGAUCAUCAGGGAAAUUAAAAGCUAUCACUGCAUUUAAGGGGCAUUUAAGGAACAAGGGAAAAGAUGAGACAUGUCAAGUAUACCAAUUAAAAAGAGGACAGAGAGCCCAGCUAAGUUACCAGGAAACUGCAUCCAGAAAAAUAAUAACAAGAAAAUUAUAACAAAUCUGAAAGCUGGUCACUAGAGAAGGUUGAUAAGAUGAUCAAGAGGGAAAAAGAGAAAAAGAAGUCAUAAAAACAAGCAAUAUUGCUCUGGGCUCUAGCUCUAAGUGUGUGUGUAUAUGCAUGUGUGUAUGAAUAUGUGUGUGUGUGUGUGUGUGUGUGUGUGUGUGUGUGUACAUAAAUAUGUGUAGGACAUGGACACAGCAAGAAAAUCUUAGAGGGAGGAAGGACUAGAGGGAGUAAUACAGAUCAAGAAAGGAGGCAGAAAGGGGUUGGGGGUGGGGUGGCAGAAAAGCAAACAAGAGAGGAAUGAAGGAGGAUAGUAUAGGAUGAAUAAUAUCAAAAUAUAAUGAUGUAUUUUUAAAAUGUUACAAGGAAACCAAUUUCUUUAUAUGCUAAUCAAAAUUUAAUUAAAAGAAAAUAAUACAGGCAAGCAUAACAACACAUGCCUUUAAUGCCAGCAUUUGGGUAGCAGAUGCAGGCAGAUCUCUUGUAAGUUCCAGGUCAGCCAAGGCUACAGGGUGAGAUACUGUCUCAAAACAAUGACAAAACAAUAGAAAUUAUAAAUAGCUACGUAGAACAUACUAGCAGUAUUGAAAAUGAAAAGGGGGAACCAGAUAUGAAUAAAGAGAAAAUUCUUUGUUGCUGUUGUUGGGUUUUUGGUUUGGGUUUUGGUACUGAAAGAUGAGGAUUCUCUGUGUUGCCCUGGCUAUCCUAGAACUUGCUCUGUAGACCAGGCUGCCUUAAAAUCAGGGAUCUGCCUGCCUCUGCCUCCCAAGUGAUGAGAUUAAAGGUAUAUGCCACUGCAUCUAGUAGAAAACUCUUACAAUAACAAAACAGUAGUUUACUUUCUCCCCACAUGGCUACUUACUAUUUUCUGGCAGGGUUACCUUCAGCAGAUGUGGUAGCUUAAAAGAAAAUGGCCCCCGUAGGCUUCUAGGGAGGCACAGCGGAGAAUUGUUAAUGCACUGUGAGCUCCUGCUGUGUGCACCAGACCACACUCAUGUUUUCACAUAUUAUAAUUUCAAAAUUUUAAUACAUAGAAUGUAUUUGUGGUUCCAAACUCAAAUGCUUCAAGUGUAUACUGAAAAAAGUCUCUUCCCACUAAUUCCCAAAAUUGCCUAAUGUCUCUCCAGCCUUGUUAUUUACCUGUGACUAUUUCCUCAAACAUAUAUUUCCAAGCUAAUAAAAACAGGACUUAUCUUACACCUUUUGUCACACAUGGGGGAAAUUAACUGGUACAUUUAAAGAAAUCACCCCCCCCAAAAAAAUUGCAGACAUGCUUCAUAAAAGCUCUGAGAAGCUGUGCUCAGUCCAACCAUAGAGUACACAUGGAAGGACUUGUGGCUCUAGCUGCAUAUGUAGCUGAGGAUGGCCUAGUGGGUCAUCAAUGGGAGGAGAGGCCCUUGGUCCUGUGAAGGUCCCCAGUGUAGGGGAAUGCCAGGACCAGCAAGCAGGAGGGGCUGGGUUGGUGAGCAGGGGGAGGGAGGAGGGGAUAGGGGGUUUUCAGAAGGGAAACCAGGAAAGGGGAUAACAUUUGAAAUGUAAAUACAGAAAAUAUCUAAAAAAACAAAAACAAAAAACAACUCCAAAAAGUAUAAUUCUCUUUUUUUGUUUGUUUGUUUUUGUUUUUUGAGACAGCGUUUCUCUCUGUAGCCCUGGCUGUCCUAGUACUCACUCUGUAGUCCAGGCUAGCCUCAAACUCAAAAUCCACCUGCCUCUGCCUCCCAAGUGCUGGGAUUAAAGGCGUGUGUCACCACUGCCCAGCCAUAAUUCUCUUUUACAGAUGCUUUGGUUAUAGGAAAUGAGGAAGGAUUUUCCAUAGCUCCCAAAGAAGACGGGCUCAUUCAGCACUUGUCCCCCGCGCUGUACAGUGGACGGUCAUUUAAAAU